CACGUAGGGCGCAAGCGUUGUCCGGAAUUAUUGGGCGUAAAGAGCUCGUAGGCGGUCUGUUGCGUCCGCUGUGAAAGCUCGGGGCUUAACCCCGAGCCUGCAGUGGAUACGGGCAGACUAGAGGUAGGUAGGGGAGAAUGGAAUUCCCGGUGUAGCGGUGAAAUGCGCAGAUAUCGGGAGGAACACCGGUGGCGAAGGCGGUUCUCUGGGCCUUACCUGACGCUGAGGAGCGAAAGCGUGGGGAGCGAACAGG
rnacentral:rRNA from 1 species